UCCCUUCCCGUGAGGCCCCGGGGGAAAGGGAGCAGCCCAAUCACAGACGGUAUAAAAGCUCUGGGAGCAGCAGCACCUGAGUGGCAUCUGCGGCUUGAAAUCAGGAUGGGUGAAGAGCCUGCGGGAGGAAAGGAUCGUUAAGGAGAGCAGGUACGGCACACGGUGACGGCAGCAGCCUCCGACUGGGGUCAGAGCCAGUGGCCCGAGAACCUCUCAGCUCAGGGGAGGUGACCCAGUCAGGGAUCACAGGACCCUCUGAGCCAGCUGGGCGUCCUUCCUUCACAUCGAAGAUGGAUUCACAUCCCCAGCUGUGGGAAAGAUAAGUGGAGGACUCCCACCUGGAGAGGGGAUGGGAGCUGGGUCCAGUUUUAUGGUUAGGAGGGAGGGAUUUUCAGAUGAGCACACGGGAAAGGGUCUGCCCUAACAGGCCCUUGGCACACAUGGGAGGAGCAGUUUACUUUUCAUCAUGGAGUAGGAUGUGCAGGGCAGAGCUGUUCAGGUCUGUGUCGUGUCCUUUGUCCGGUCUGUGUUUCGUGUCUUACACUUCACAGUCACCACAUCUUUGGUUUCUGCCUUCAAAGGCCUUUCUGCCCUCCAAGGUCUUAUCUGAGAUGCCAAGGCAUCAUUCCUAGGGUCUUGAACCUCUGCACUGCCCAGCCCAGUGCCCAUACCAUCCGUUCUUUGGCUCACAAGCUUGGACAUGCAUCGGAAUCGCAUCUGAGAAGUGUCAGGUCAGGUGUCUUUUACAGCCUCCUCACAGGUUGUAUCGGUGGCUGUGCCGUGCAGUCAUCCCUUGUCAUCCCACCUGGGAUUUCUGAGAGUUUAAGAAGAUUCUGAACAUAGCCUUGUCUCCCAUCCAUCUUAGCCUUUUUGUAGGCAGUUCUUGUCCCAGGCCAUUCUGUUAGAGUGUGUGUUCAGGCUCCUCAGAGCCUCCUCCGUUCAGUCUCGCCGUAUCCUCCGUCUUCUCGUGCGGCAGCACAUCCAUUUUGGCGUCGUUCCUUUCUCAGAGUUCUCUCUCCUGGUUGCACCACAGCACUUGUCUGGAAAUGUGUCCUUGGAGUUUGUGUUGGGCCUGGAACUGCUCUGCCCUGCAGUGUAGACUUGGGGGUAGGUGGAGUAGAAAGGAGACUUCCCAGUUACCCUGUGGAUAGGCUUAGGCACUGAGGGCAGGGCCUUAAAGUGAGGUCAGUGUUUGUUUGUACAGGUUGUCUUUGGACCCCCAGAGGGCUUGUCUAAGGAGAAAUUAGAAUUGCACAGCAGUUAAUGUUGCCCUGUGUAUAUGGCUGACUUUGGUAACUCAUUUCUUUGCAGUGUCAGAGGGACUGGAUGUAAAGCAGAGAUGAACAGAAGAGGCUGGAGGAGCACAGUCAGAAGAUGCAGAGCCCUCAGCCCAGCAGAGGACAGGCACCAGGGGGAAGGUGAGCCCGGUGAGGAAGGCAAUGCACAGACUUCUAACGUGCAGUCCAACGUGACAGGGACCCUGCCUGAGAUGUAGGCAGCCUCAGAUGGCCGAAGCCAACUCACAGUGAGGUGACGGACACAGUUUGGUCCCCUUGAGCUGUCCUUGUAGGUAAUCUCUGAGUAUUGAAAGGAUCAGCAAUGAGGCACUGAGCUUUUUGGAUUGCAGGUGCCAUCCGGGUAACCUUUGGGAGCAGAUGAGCAUUGGAGGUAUCCCAGAAGAUGACAGCACAUUGUCCAAGUCUGGUCAGAGUCAGUGACCCGAGGACCUGCCUCGGUGACAUUGACUCCGAGUAGUGUGACGAUGACAGGAACCUCUGAGCCAGCCCAGGUGCCCGUCCUGUGCAUCCAAGCUGGAUUGGCAUCCCCUGCUCUCGGAAAGAUAAGUGCUGGGCAAAGACCCAGAGAGGGGUUGGGAGUCAGUGCAAGUCUGUGCCUCGCCUGGAGGGAUUUUUGCAAUUAUUCCAGUGCAGGGGGUAUCCUGGAACAGGUUAUUUGGAGACAUCAAAGGAAGGGCUUACUUUUUAUCAUUGGAUUCACGUGUGCAGGGUAGAGCAGUUCUGGUCUGUGUCACAUCCUUUGUCUCGUCCAUGUUUUGUGUCCUUCAUCUCUUAAUUGUUUCACAUGGUGUGUGUGGUCACAGGUGUGGGGUGUCUCACUUGGGGUCAGCCUGGAACUGCUCUGCCCUGCUCCGUGGAUCAGUGGGUAGAUGGAAUAUUGCUCAGAGUCUCGUAUCAACAUGUCAGUUCCCUCAGACAGUCGAGCCCAUGGCUGUACGGUCCUGCCGGGUGGAGCAGGUGUCCAUAACUCAGGUGCAAUCGUGUGCAGUGAGCUCAUCCAGCAGCCAGGCUUCAAUGGGAUAAGAGCUUUCCCUUUCUUUCAUUGAAUGGGAUUUCUCAAGCUAUUCCUGCUUUAUUAAAGCAUCAGCUUUGGUAUCCAAAGAAGCAGAGCUGUAUAUGGUAAUGAAGAGGAUUACACUCACAUGCAGGGUUUUUAAA